GGCGGCAUGCUUUACACAUGCAAGUCGAACGGCAGCACGGGUGCUUGCACCUGGUGGCGAGUGGCGGACGGGUGAGUAAUGCAUCGGAACGUGUCCUGAAGGUGGGGGAUAACGCAUCGAAAGAUGUGCUAAUACCGCAUAUUCUCUGAGGAGGAAAGUAGGGGAUCGAAAGACCUUAUGCUUUUGGAGCGGCCGAUGUCUGAUUAGCUAGUUGGUAGGGUAAUGGCUUACCAAGGCGACGAUCAGUAGUUGGUCUGAGAGGACGACCAGCCACACUGGGACUGAGACACGGCCCAGACUCCUACGGGAGGCAGCAGUGGGGAAUUUUGGACAAUGGGCGCAAGCCUGAUCCAGCAAUGCCGCGUGAGUGAAGAAGGCCUUCGGGUUGUAAAGCUCUUUCAGUUGAGAAGAAAAAGUCGCGACUAAUAAUCAUGAUUCAUGACGGUAUCAACAGAAGAAGCACCGGCUAACUACGUG
rnacentral:rRNA from 1 species